rnacentral:lncRNA from 1 species
AGAAAAAGGAUACAAUUGGCGAUGGUGAUGGUGAGGAUGAAGGUAUUACCAAGUCUUACAUUUCUACUUGUACUGCAAGAAGUAUGUGAUUGUGCUGAUCAAUGCAUUUUUUGCCAUUUAGAAGUGGAACCUUUAAACGAGGAGGAGCAAGAAGAGAAGGAGCAGCUACUGGAAGAGGUUUGGGAUAUACUUAAGUCUUUUGAUUUGGACCUGGUCCCCCCCCAUAAUUUUCUUCCAUCUGCUGUGCAAUUUAGGGCUUUUCAACAUGGACGAGGAGGGACUUCAACACAUUCAUUCGAGCUUGUGAGAAAUAUGGUCGUGACGACAUAAAGAGUAUAGCCUCUGAAAUGGAGGGGAAAACGGAAGAGGAAGUUCAGCGGUAUGCUGAAGUUUUCAAGGAAAGAUAUACAGAAUUGAAUGGUAUAUGCUCAAAAAACCUAUCCAUUUCCAUUUUUCUCUUUCUGUCCCUUUCUCCAUGCUUUCUACAAAUUAGAUAAAUGUAUCCAGUGUUCAAAGGGUUUCCUUGAUGAGCUCACAAUUUAUGGCAUGUGAGGUUCGUUUUGUCUAAUCCACAUAGUAUCUUCUUUCCUGUACCAGAUUAUGACAGAAUUAUUAAGAACAUUGAGAAAGGAGAAUCAAAGAUCUCUCGGAAGGAUGAGAUUAUGAAAGCCAUUGCGAAAAAGAUGGACCGUUAUAAGAACCCAUGGUUGGAGUUGAAAAUUCAGUAUGGCCAGAACAAAGGGAAGCUGUACAAUGAGGAAUGCGACCGUUUUCUGGUAAUGCCACACCACAGUUCUUACCAAAUAACUGCACUGUUUGACAUGGCUAAUGAACUGUUCUUUCUCUACAGUUGUGCAUGGUGCACAAACUUGGCUAUGGAAACUGGGAAGAACUGAAGUCGGCCUUCCGCAUGUCUCCCUUGUUCCGUUUUGAUUGGUUUGUGAAGUCCAGAACCACGCAAGAGUUGGCUAGAAGGUGCGACACUCUCAUUCGUCUAGUGGAGAAGGAGAACCAAGAGUGUGAUGAGCGUGAUAGACAGGCCAGGAAAGAUAAGAAGGUUGGUCAUUGUUCUACUACCCAUUUCCUGCCCUUUGCAUUGGUCUUCGACAUCUCCUUGCUCUGGGUUAUCCUUAACUACCUUUCAAGGAAAUAUUAUGCAAUUUUCACUUACCAUUCUGUGACUUGCAGAACAUGACACCAACAAAGCGUCCUUCGUCAAGUAGUCCAGCAAUGGACUCUCCCAUGCAGACCCCCUCCAAGAGGGGGCGGAGGGACGGCAGUGCACCCUUGGUAAGUGAUUUAGAUGCUAUCAUGCUACCUUGUUCUUCUGUCUUCAUUGUAUGCUGUGGUUGUCUGAGUAAAUUAGGGACUCACUUGCUGCUGUUGUUCCUUCAUUUGUUGCAGGGAAAGAGAAGGCGGCGAUGAUCUAGUGUUCCCUGAGGAACAAACUCAUUUGGCGGUUGACAACCGAAGGGAAGCCCCAGAUGUACCUGUUUAUCUCAUCCAGUGUGUUUGCGCCUAGUUAUAGUAGCUCAAAACCUAUUAGAGGUCACUCUCAAGUCUGAACCAGUCGAAAUCCGAAGUCUGAACUCCUAUCUUAAAUAGAUUCCAGUGACAUGGUGAACUUAUGUGUCGGUUAAUAUACUGUUCCUGUGUUCGCGGAUCAAUUAGGUUGUUAUCGAACCGAUUGAUGCUUUUGAUUGAGCAUGAGAAAGUUACAUUCCGUUGACAGUGUAUGCUUUUUUGCUUGUUGAGCCUUGUGUAGUUGUGUCGCCAUCUGCUUUCAUGGUCUGGACACUGAGGUUGGACCCUCUGUUGUCCAAACAGCAAUUUG